AUGAACGCUGGCGGCGUGCCUAACACAUGCAAGUCGAACGGAGAUUACGGACGGAAGUUUUCGGAUGGAAGACUGUAAUUCUUAGUGGCGGACGGGUGAGUAACGCGUGGGCAACCUGCCCUAUACAGGGGGAUAGCAGCUGGAAACGGCUGGUAAGACCGCAUAAGUCGGCGAGACCGCAUGGUUUUGCCGGGAAAUGAGCAAUCAGGUAUAGGAUGGGCCCGCGUCCGAUUAGCCAGUUGGCAGGGUAAAAGCCUACCAAAGCAACGAUCGGUAGCCGGACUGAGAGGUCGGACGGCCACAUUGGGACUGAGACACGGCCCAAACUCCUACGGGAAGCAGCAGUGGGGGAUAUUGCACAAUGGAGGAAACUCUGAUGCAGCGACGCCGCGUGAGUGAAGAAGUAUUUCGGUAUGCAAAGCUCUAUCAGCAGGGAAGAUGAUGACGGUACCUGACUAAGAAGCCCCGGCUAACUACGUG
rnacentral:rRNA from 1 species